UAGUGUCCCACUCCACCUUCUUGCAUAUACGAUGGAUGCUCUCAGAUUGUCGAAGACUGUUUACCUUCUCCUUUCUCCCACGGAUGAUCUAAGAUUGCAAUAGUUCACAACCGCUGGAUUCACCGAUGGCGAUUAGUGAAGUACUAAGCCUAAUGUACCUUUCUCAGAUUUAUGUGUUCAUAGAUGGCGAUUCCGAUUUCGUUAUGUUGAUAAGGCGCUUACAAAUUUCGAUUCUGAUCAAGACUAAGAUAAACGAUCUCAAUUUAUCAUCACGGAUACUCUCAUGUACACAUGAACGACAAAUAUCAACAUAGGCUGUUUUGUUCACUGACACUUAACGAAGACAACUGGCAUGGGGAAGCAAAUGAUACUAAGGUACUGGUUAUCUCCUUAGAAUCUGCCCUUCCAUUUUCUGUAUUGUGUACAGCAUUGGAUAGAGUUACUAGGUAGCUCGGAUUACUAAUUGUGACAAGCAAUGGAACCAAGGUUUUAACCCAUUAAUCUUGCUCGGAACAUUCGUGAGCGUCACAAGCUACCCUUGAAAACUCCUCUAAAGAGCCUACACAAGGAAAAAAAGUAACACAUGCUUAUCCUUGUAACAAAAAUAAGAGGUUGUUAAUGAAAUCAGCAAAACAUGUCUCUACAGUUAUUUUGUUUUUCUUGAAAACUAAGAGAGGUCUGUAGUGUAUCUUCUCGGUAUUAUUCAUAUAUAUAAAAAUUAUAUCUACAAGUUAUUUUAGACGUUGUUAAUGAAAUCAGAAAAAACAUGUCUCUACAGUUAUUUUGUUUCUCUUGAAAACUAAGAGAGGUCUGUACUGACCAUCCAAGCCAACACCAUGGUC